CUACGGGAUGCUCCAGUGAGGAAUUUUGCGCAAUGGGGGAAACCCUGACGCAGCAACGCCGCGUGAGCGAAGAAGGCCUUCGGGUCGUAAAGCUCUGUCAAGUGGGAAAAAAAUUCUUUGAUGAACAGUCAAAGGACUUGAUGGUACCACUGGAGGAAGCACCGGCUAACUCCGUGCCAGCAGCCGCGGUAAUACGGAGGGUGCAAGCGUUGUUCGGAAUUACUGGGCGUAAAGAGCGUGUAGGCGGUUUGACAAGUCAGAUGUGAAAGCCCCGGGCUCAACCCGGGAAGUGCAUUUGAAACUGUUUCACUAGAGUAUGGGAGAGGAGAUUGGAAUUCCUGGUGUAGAGGUGAAAUUCGUAGAUAUCAGGAGGAACACCCGUGGCGAAGGCGAUUCUCUGGACCAAUACUGACGCUGAGACGCGAAAGCGUGGGGAGCAAACAGGAUUAGAUACCCUUGUAGUC
rnacentral:rRNA from 1 species